rnacentral:rRNA from 1 species
AUACGUAGGGGGCGAGCGUUGUCCGGAAUGAUCGGGCGUAAAGGGCGCGUAGGCGGCCCGGUAAGUCUGGAGUGAAAGUCCUGUUUUUGAGAUGGGAAUUGCUUUGGAUACUGUCGGGCUUGAGUGCAGGAGAGGUAAGUGGAAUUCCCAGUGUAGCGGGGAAAUGCGUAGAGAUUGGGAGGAACACCAGUGGCGAAGGCGACUUACUGGACUGUAACUGACGCUGAGGCGCGAAAGUGUGGGGAGCAAACAGGAUUAGAUACCCUGGUAGUCCACACUGUAAACGAUGAAUGCUAGGUGUAGGGGGUAUCGACCCCUUCUGUGCCGCAGUCAACACAAUAAGCAUUCCGCCUGGGGAGUACGGCCGCAAGGUUGAAACUCAAAGGAAUUGACGGGG